UAACGCGAAGAACCUUACCAAGGCUUGACAUACACCGGAAAAGUGCAGAGAUGUGCUCCCCGCAAGGUCGGUGUACAGGUGGUGCAUGGUUGUCGUCAGCUCGUGUCGUGAGAUGUUGGGUUAAGUCCCGCAACGAGCGCAACCCUCGUCCCAUGUUGCUAGCGGGUUAUGCCGGGGACUCAUGGGAGACUGCCGGGGUCAACUCGGAGGAAGGCGGGGAUGACGUCAAAUCAUCAUGCCCCUUAUGUCUUGGGCUUCACGCAUGCUACGAUGGCCGGUACAAAGGGCUGCGAUACCGCAAGGUGGAGCGAAUCCCAAAAAGCCGGUCUCAGUUCGGAUCGGGGUCUGCAACUCGACCCCGUGAAGUCGGAGUCGCUAGUAAUCGCAGAUCAGCAACGCUACGGUGAAUACGUUCCCGGGUCUUGUACACACCGA
rnacentral:rRNA from 1 species